rnacentral:rRNA from 1 species
AGUGAACGCUGGAGGCGUGCUUAACACAUGCAAGUCGAACGAGAACGGAAUAUAGCUUGCUAUAUUUGUCAGCUAAGUGGCGCACGGGUGAGUAAUGUAUAGAUAACCUGCCCUUAAGAAAGGAAUAACAGUUGGAAACGACUGCUAAUGCCCUAUAUGCCUUUAAUACAUAAGUAUGCAAGGGAAACGCUUUAGUGCUUAAGGAUGGGUCUGUAUGGUAUCAGCUUGUUGGUGAGGUAAUGGCUCACCAAGGCUAUGACGCCUAACUGGUUUGAGAGGAUGAUCAGUCACACUGGAACUGAGACACGGUCCAGACUCCUACGGGAGGCAGCAGUGGGGAAUAUUGCACAAUGGACGAAAGUCUGAUGCAGCAACACCGCGUGGAGGAUGACACAUUUCGGUGCGUAAACUCCUUUUAUAUAGGAAGAUAAUGACGGUACUAUAUGAAUAAGCACCGGCUAACUCCGUGCCAGCCGCCGCGGUAA